CCUACGGGAGGCAGCAGUGAGGAAUAUUGGUCAAUGGGCUUACGCCUGAACCAGCCAAGUCGCGUGAGGGAAGACUGCCCUAUGGGUUGUAAACCUCUUUUGUCAGGGAGCAACGCCUGCUACGUGUAGCCGGACUGAGAGUACCUGAGGAAAAAGCAUCGGCUAACUCCGUGCCAUCAGCCGCGGUAAUACGGAGGAUGCGAGCUUUAUCCGGAUUUAUUGGGUUUAAAGGGUGGGCAGGCGGACUGUUAAGUCAGCGGUAAAAUCACGGGGCUCAACCCCGGCGAGCCGUUGAAACUGGUUGUCUUGAGAUGUCGAGAGGUAUGCGGAAUGCGCAGUGUAGCGGUGAAAUGCUUAGAUAUUGCGCAGAACUCCGAUUGCGAAGGCAGCAUACCGGCGGCGAUCUGACGCUGAGGCACGAAAGUGUGGGUAUCGAACAGGAUUAGAUACCCCGGUAGUC
rnacentral:rRNA from 1 species